UACGGAGGGUGCAAGCGUUGUCCGGAUUUAUUGGGUUUAAAGGGUGCGUAGGCGGGGUCUCAAGUCUGGUUUGAAAGUUAUCUGCUUAACAGUUAGACGUGGCUGGAAACUGGGGUUCUGGAAUGGGUUGGCGGCUGCCGGAACGGGUCAUGUAGCGGUGAAAUGCAUAGAUAUGACGCAGAACACCGAUGGCGAAGGCAGGCAGCUGCGACCUGAUUGACACUGAGGCACGAGAGCGUGGGUAGCAAACAGG
rnacentral:rRNA from 1 species